UACGUAGGGUGCAAGCGUUGUCCGGAAUUAUUGGGCGUAAAGAGCUCGUAGGCGGUCUGUCGCGUCGGCUGUGAAAACCCGGGGCUCAACCCCGGGCCUGCAGUGGAUACGGGCAGACUAGAGGUAGGUAGGGGAGAAUGGAAUUCCCGGUGUAGCGGUGAAAUGCGCAGAUAUCGGGAGGAACACCGGUGGCGAAGGCGGUUCUCUGGGCCUUACCUGACGCUGAGGAGCGAAAGCGUGGGGAGCGAACAGG
rnacentral:rRNA from 1 species